UAGCACCACCAGGUGUUCUAUAUAGAUGAUGUAGACCAGUGAUUAAUCCCCAAACUGUGGUACUUGUACCACUAGUGAUACUUGGGCUCUCUCUGGUGGUACGCGGGAAAUCUCCAAUUUUUUUUUAACAUUAAAUAAUCUACCAUUGUGGAGGUAUGCGAAGACGUCACGAGAGUUCCCGAGGCUCUCCUGGGAGGCGGGGUCGACCCAAAAACGUCUCCCUGAGCGUGAGUCUUCUAUGAAGAGCAGCCUUUCCUUAUCGCCAGCCACUACAGAGCGCUGGUGGGCUUGUUUCCCUGGGCCUUAAAACUGCAAAGGGGGCAGACAUCGCCGUGCUGCGGCGCCAAAAUGCUGAUGGUAAAAACACAGCCCAUUUCUCCGGCGCCAUCGUGCCACGAUGCCACCAACCAUUGAUGAGUCGGAGGCCCCAGGGAGAAUCGGUGGGAUCGCGGGAGAUGCCGUCGUUAAGUUGGGGACUAUCGCCUGGAUGCCGAAGCUCCUAGUAGCCAGGAGAAUCAGAUCAGCUUCUGUGAGUGAGCGGUAAUCCUUCACAGCCAGCAGCGGGGAGUUGGCAAGGCCAGCACGCACUGGAGCGGGCAACUGUCGGAGGAAACGACAACAUCUGCCGUAUUGUGGACCGCUCAGAGUCUCCCCCUCCAGCACUGCUAAUCCAGACCCCGCCGACUCCUCCCCUCUCUCCAGGAUGCUCACAGGACUCUGCAGGAUCACACCCGUCUGAGGAAACGGAAAUCAACAUUAAACUCGCAACCUUCCACCUGCUGUCGAUGGCACUGAAUGAGUAUGUGCAGGAGAUAUGUUAUGGAUGCCAAUCCGGUCACCCCAGUCAGUUACAGCACAGCUGCUUGUUUGAAUUGCCUGUGUUUUUCUUCGAGACCUACUAUGAUGAGGUGAUGGAAAAGCUCCGGACGCCCCGAUUCAUCCCAGCCAUCCGUCUGUUUGUAUCCUCGUACAGCGUCUGCGAGACUAAAGCACAUAUCAUCAGCACUGCAGAGCAUCUUCUGUGUGAACUGAGAUCAGUGUCGCACAUUGUAUGCAUCAUUGAUGAGAAUGUCGGAUACCUGCUAAACACCAAUCAUCACACCCAUGGUGUUAAAUCAGCGUUGCUCCACAUGAUUGGAAACUACUGGUCUGGGAGACACAAGAUUUAAUGUACAUCUGUUAUAAAAACCUUACUGUGCACUACACAGAAAAUUAAAUAAAAACGUAUGUUAACACUU